rnacentral:rRNA from 1 species
UACAGAGGGUGCGAGCGUUGUCCGGAAUCACUGGGCGUAAAGGGCGCGUAGGUGGCGCGACAAGUCAGUGGUGAAAGCUCGACGCUCAACGUCGAGUCGGCCACUGAGACUGUUGGGCUUGAGCACUGUAGAGGCUAAUGGAAUUCCGGGUGUAGCGGUGGAAUGCGUAGAGAUCGGGAGGAACAUCAGUUGCGAAGGCGGCUCUCUGGACCAGCACUGACACUGAGGCACGAAAGCGUGGGGAGCAAACAGG